UACGUAGGUGACAAGCGUUGUCCGGAUUUACUGGGCGUAAAGGGCGCGUAGGCGGCCUUCUAAGUCGAACGUGAAAUCCCCGGGCUCAACCCGGGAACUGCGUCCGAGACUGGAAGGCUCGAAUCCGGGAGAGGGAUGUGGAAUUCCAGGUGUAGCGGUGAAAUGACGUAGAUAUCUGGAGGAACACCGGUGGCGAAGGCGGCUUUCUGGACAAAUACCGACGCUGAGGCACGAAAGCUAGGGGAGCAAACAGG
rnacentral:rRNA from 1 species